rnacentral:lncRNA from 1 species
AUGGUAGAUGGAGCAAGGAAAAGCAUCCAACCAAUCCUGUUAGGCUGUUUUGGAAAGCCAGCGGCAAGGAAGGAAAGGAAGCGAAGUAAGCAUCCAAUCCUGAUCUUUUCACUUUCGAGAUCGAAGAAUCAUAGCUAUCAGUGCAUUAGCAAAGCAGACCCAGAAAGGGAGAGUUCUUCUUUUGCAAGAAUGGGCAUUACCGCAGCUUUGACUCUGUUGCAGGUAUGA